UCCUACGGGAGGCAGCAGUGGGGAAUAUUGGACAAUGGACCAAAAGUCUGAUCCAGCAAUUCUGUGUGCACGAUGAAGGUCUUCGGAUCGUAAAGUGCUUUCAGGUGGGAAGAAAAAAAUGACGGUACCUACAGAAGAAGCGACGGCUAAAUACGUGCCAGCAGCCGCGGUAAUACGUAUGUCGCAAGCGUUAUCCGGAAUUAUUGGGCGUAAAGCGCGUCUAGGCGGCCUUUUAAGUCUGAUGUGAAAAUGCGGGGCUCAACUCCGUAUUGCGUUGGAAACUGGAAGGCUAGAGUAUCAGAGAGGUGGGCGGAACUACAAGUGUAGAGGUGAAAUUCGUAGAUAUUUGUAGGAAUGCCGAUUGGGAAGCCAGCUCACUGGAUGAAUACUGACGCUGAAGCGCGAAAGCGUGGGGAGCAAACGGGAUUAGAUACCCCGGUAGUCCACGCCGUAAACGAUGAUCACUAAGUGUGGGGGGUCGAACCUCCGUGCUCAAGCUAACGCGAUAAGUGAUCCGCCUGGGGAGUACGCACGCAAGUGUGAAACUCAAAGG
rnacentral:rRNA from 1 species